UGGCGAACGGGUGAGUAACACGUGGGUGAUCUGCCCUGCACUUCGGGAUAAGCUUGGGAAACUGGGUCUAAUACCGGAUAGGAGCCAUCUUUAGUGUGGUGGUUGGAAAGUUUUUUCGGUGUAGGAUGAGCUCGCGGCCUAUCAGCUUGUUGGUGGGGUAAUGGCCUACCAAGGCGGCGACGGGUAGCCGGCCUGAGAGGGUGUACGGCCACAUUGGGACUGAGAUACGGCCCAGACUCCUACGGGAGGCAGCAGUGGGGAAUAUUGCACAAUGGGCGCAAGCCUGAUGCAGCGACGCCGCGUGGGGGAUGAAGGCCUUCGGGUUGUAAACUCCUUUCGCUAGGGACGAAGCUUUGUGUGACGGUACCUAKAUAAGAAGCACCGGCUAACUAC
rnacentral:rRNA from 1 species